rnacentral:rRNA from 1 species
CCUACGGGUGGCAGCAGUGGGGAAUAUUGCACAAUGGGGGAAACCCUGAUGCAGCGACGCCGCGUGAGUGAAGAAGUAUUUCGGUAUGUAAAGCUCUGUCAGCAGGGAAGAAAAUGACGGUACCUGACCAAGAAGCCCCGGCUAACUACGUGCCAGCAGCCGCGGUAAUACGUAGGGGGCAAGCGUUAUCCGGAUUUACUGGGUGUAAAGGGAGCGUAGACGGCAGGGCAAGUCUGGAGUGAAAGGCGGGGGCUCAACCCCCGGACUGCUCUGGAAACUGCCAGGCUGGAGUGCAGGAGAGGUAAGUGGAAUUCCUAGUGUAGCGGUGAAAUGCGUAGAUAUUAGGAGGAACACCAGUGGCGAAGGCGACUUUCUGGACUGUACCUGACGCUGAGGCGCGAAAGCAUGGGGAGCGAACAGGAUUAGAUACCCGGGUAGUC